GACAGUGCUCAAGCCCCUGCGUCCCCGGUUCUCCCCAGGGGGUAACUGGACGCUGAUGGCCACCAGGUGCCUAGCCUGUGGUGUUGAGUGAGUGAGCCAGUCCCCCUCCUGCCCACUGGGACCAAACCCCGGGCCCACCUCCUCUCUGUCCCUGCAGACCCCGCAGGAUAGAGCCCGUGUGCUCAGGGCUGCAGGCCCAGAUCCUCCGCUGCUACCGUGACAACCUACAAGAAGUGCUCCUGUGCUCGGACCUGGUCAAGGCUUACCAGCACUGUGUGAGUGCUGCCCACAAGGGGUGAGGAGUGGCCCUCAAUCCUGGCCCUGGCGGUGACUUGGAGCCCUGAAGAAGGAACCGGUUAUGGGACCACAGUCCACAGCCCCCUAGGCCACAGCCAUUUUCUCCUGGGUGCCUAUGGAUGCCUCUGUGCUUGGGGCUGCCAUGUGUUUGAGAAAUAGAGUAUGUGCUACUGUCUGAAAACAAAUAAAGCAAAUGUCUUUGUUUUCAGUCA